UGGGGAAUUUUGGACAAUGGGGGAACCCUGAUCCAGCCAUCCCGCGUGUGCGAUGAAGGCCUUCGGGUUGUAAAGCACUUUUGGCAGGAAAGAAACGUCGCGGGUUAAUACCCCGCGAAACUGACGGUACCUGCAGAAUAAGCACCGGCUAACUACGUGCCAGCAGCCGCGGUAAUACGUAGGGUGCAAGCGUUAAUCGGAAUUACUGGGCGUAAAGCGUGCGCAGGCGGUUCGGAAAGAAAGAUGUGAAAUCCCAGAGCUUAACUUUUGGAACUGCAUUUUUAACUACCGGGCUGAGUGUGUCAGAGGAGGUGGAAUUCCGCGUGUAGCAGUGAAAUGCGUAGAUAUGCGGAGGAACACCCGAUGGCGAAGGCAGCCUCCUGGGAUAACACUGACGCUCAUGCACGAAAGCGUGGGGGAGCAAACAGGAUUAGAUA
rnacentral:rRNA from 1 species